GACGAACGCUGGCGGCGUGCUUAACACAUGCAAGUCGAACGCUGAAGCUCAGCUUUUGUUGGGUGGAUGAGUGGCGAACGGGUGAGUAACACGUGAGUAACCUGCCUCCUUCUUUGGGAUAACGCCCGGAAACGGGUGCUAAUACUGGAUAUUCACUGGUCUUCGCAUGGGGGUUGGUGGAAAGGGUUUUUCUGGUGGGGGAUGGGCUCGCGGCCUAUCAGCUUGUUGGUGGGGUGAUGGCCUACCAAGGCUUUGACGGGUAGCCGGCCUGAGAGGGUGACCGGUCACAUUGGGACUGAGAUACGGCCCAGACUCCUACGGGAGGCAGCAGUGGGGAAUAUUGCACAAUGGGCGCAAGCCUGAUGCAGCGACGCCGCGUGAGGGAUGGAGGCCUUCGGGUUGUGAACCUCUUUCGCUCAUGGUCAAGCCGCAACAAUGGUUGUGGUGGGGGUAGUGGGUAAAGAAGCGCCGGCUAACUACGUG
rnacentral:rRNA from 1 species